UACGUAGGGUGCGAGCGUUGUCCGGAAUUAUUGGGCGUAAAGAGCUCGUAGGCGGUUUGUCGCGUCUGCUGUGAAAACCGGAGGCUCAACCUCCGGCCUGCAGUGGGUACGGGCAAACUAGAGUGCGGUAGGGGAGAUUGGAAUUCCUGGUGUAGCGGUGGAAUGCGCAGAUAUCAGGAGGAACACCGAUGGCGAAGGCAGAUCUCUGGGCCGUAACUGACGCUGAGGAGCGAAAGCGUGGGGAGCGAACAGG
rnacentral:rRNA from 1 species